CCUACGGGUGGCUGCAGUGAGGAAUAUUGGUCAAUGGACGAGAGUCUGAACCAGCCAAGUAGCGUGAAGGAUGACUGCCCUAUGGGGUGUAAACUUCUUUUAUAUGGGAAUAAAAUGUUCCACGUGUGGGAUUUUGUAUGUACCAUAUGAAUAAGGAUCGGCUCACUCCGUGCCAGCAGCCGCGGUAAUACGGAGGAUCCGAGCGUUAUCCAGAUUUAUUGGGUUGAAAGGGAGCGUAGAUGGGUUGGUAAGUCAGUUGUGAAAGUUUGCGGCUAAACCGUAAAAUUGCAAUUGAUACUGGCAGUCUUGAGUACAUUUGAGGUAGGCGGACUUCGUGGUGUAGCGGUGAAAUGCUUUGAUAUCACGAAGAACCCCGAUUGCGAAGGCAGCUUACUAAACUGUGACUGACAUUGAUGCUCGAAAGUGUGGGUAUCAAACAGGAUUAGAUACCCCUGUAGUC
rnacentral:rRNA from 1 species